rnacentral:rRNA from 1 species
CCUACGGGAGGCACCAGUAGGGAGUCGUCGGCAAUGGACGAAAGUCUGACCGAGCAACGCCGCGUGAGUGAAGAAGGUUUUCGGAUCGUAAAACUCUGUUGGUAGAGAAGAACGUUGGUGAGAGUGGAAAGCUCAUCAAGUGACGGUAACUACCCAGAAAGGGACGGCUAACUACGUGCCAGCAGCCGCGGUAAUACGUAGGUCCCGAGCGUUGUCCGGAUUUAUUGGGCGUAAAGCGAGCGCAGGUGGUUUAUUAAGUCUGGUGUAAAAGGCAGUGGCUCAACCAUUGUAUGCAUUGGAAACUGGUAGACUUGAGUGCAGGAGAGGAGAGUGGAAUUCCAUGUGUAGCGGUGAAAUGCGUAGAUAUAUGGAGGAACACCAGUGGCGAAGGCGACUCUCUGGUCUGUAACUGACGCUGAGGCUCGAAAGCGUGGGGAGCAAACAGGAUUAGAUACCCGGGUAGUC